AGGAAAUCUCAGGUCCCAUGAAUGCAGCAUCCAAAUGAAGGAAAGGCUCGUGCUUUUGUGCCUUGCUGUCUGCCCUCAGAGUACCAACCACCCCUCUCAAGGAUAAGCUAUUUCUUGCAAAUUUAGCAUCCUUUAUUGCUAGUAUCUGCUUUCAAGCCGGGGGUGAUAUUUCUGAAUCAUCUGGCAUUAUUUACAACAGCUAAUGAUAGACAGAGUUUGAAGUAGAACUAUAGAGCCCCAAUCCAUCCUUUUCCUUGCUCCCAGAUGUCUCUGACCCAGGAGAUAGCAGCUUAAGCCCAUAAUGGCAAAAAAAAUACAACUUUUCCUCAGAACCAGCUCUGGAAGUCAGAAGUCCAACAUCAAAGUGCCAGCAGGAUUCAGAUUCGCUUCUUCUGUGACCUCCAUCCUUGGCUUAGUGUGUUCCAUGGGCUCAGAAGCAGUGAAUCCUCCCUCUUCUCAGAAGCAGAGCGCUUCUAUCAAACAGAGCUGAAAAUGUGAAGAACAAAAGAAAAGGAAGAGAACAAUGGCUCAAAGAUGUGUCCAAUCAACCUGAAGCAAAUGCAUUUCUAAUUAAAGAUUAUGAAUAUGGGUCACCCUUUAGGACAAGCAAACACAAGUCAAGCAUCAUUCUUCUUGAUUUGUUCCAGGUCAUUGUCCUCCUCUGACUGGCUGCAGAAC
rnacentral:lncRNA from 1 species